ACAGCAGCAGCCGCGGGAAUACGUAGGGUGCAAGCGUUAAUCGGAAUUACUGGGCGUAAAGCGUGCGCAGGCGGUUAUAUAAGACAGAUGUGAAAUCCCCGGGCUCAACCUGGGAACUGCAUUUGUGACUGUAUAGCUAGAGUACGGCAGAGGGGGAUGGAAUUCCGCGUGUAGCAGUGAAAUGCGUAGAUAUGCGGAGGAACACCGAUGGCGAAGGCAAUCCCCUGGGCCUGUACUGACGCUCAUGCACGAAAGCGUGGGGAGCAAACAGGAUUAGAUACCCCAGUAGUCCCUGUCUCUUAUAC
rnacentral:rRNA from 1 species